rnacentral:rRNA from 1 species
GAUAUCGGGAGGAAUACCAGUGGCGAAGUCGGCUCUCUAGUCUACACCUGACACUGAGGUGCGACAGCGUGGGUAGCGAACGGGAUUAGAUACCCCGGUAGUCCACGCAGUAAACGAUGGAUACUAGGUGUAGGGGGUCAUUUAACCCCUCUGAGCCGAAGCAAACGCGUUAAGUAUCCCGCCUGGGGACUACGGCCGCAAGGUUAAAACUCAAAGGAAUUGACGGGGGCCCGCACAAGCAGCGGAGCGUGUGGUCUAAUUCGAUGAUACGCGAAGAACCUUACCUGGGCUGAACUACGUGGUAGUAGUGAAGCGAAAGCGGAUCGACCCUUCGGGGAGCCUCGAUAGGUGCUGCAUGGCAGUCGUCAGCUCGUGUCGUGAGAUGUUGGGUUAAGUCCCGCAACGAGCGCAACCCUCGUCGCUAGUUACAAGUGUCUAGCGAGACUGCCGGUAUCAAACCGGAGGAAGGUGGGGAUGACGUCAAGUCAGCAUGGUCUUUAUGUCCAGGGCUACACACACGCUACAAUGGUCGGUACAAUAGGUUGCCACACCGCGAGGUGGAGCUAAUCCUCAAAGCCGAUCUCAGUUCGGAUUGUAGUCUGCAACUCGACUACAUGAAGGCGGAGUUGCUAGUAACCGCGCGUCAGCAUAGUGCGGUGAUGCGUUCCCGGGCCUUGUACACACCGCCCGUCACAUCAUGGGAGUCGGUAACACCUGAAGUCGGUGACCUAACCGAAAGGGGGGAGCUGCCUAAGGUGGGAUCGGUAACUGGGAUGAAGU